UCUGCAUUUUUCAUGAAGUUAUGAGCACGUGAAAUAUACAUACCUGUAUUCAGUAAGCUGCUGUGCUAUUUUUGUUGUAAACGCAUAUUACUCAUUAGAGGGUGAAAACAACCCCAGCUAACAAUGACCUGGCGGUCCGCCAGCGUUUUUUGGGCGGCACAAAUUCAGCGGCUAGACGCGGUCGGACCACCGUCGGCACAUCAUCGGCAAGCCGACCAAUCGGAAAAUGCCGUCGGUCUGCCAGCGUUUUUUGGGUGGCACGCCACCAGCGGUUUGCCACUGCUGGGCCACCGUUGGUACACCAGUGGCAAACUGAUAGUCGGUCCAGUUUCUGCUGAGCGCUUACAGGACAUCUUUUUUGAUAAGUUUGUAUUUAUCUUAUAUUUAUUGCAGUUACAAAAGAAUCCGAAAGCACUGAAUAAAAAAAUAUUGAGACUAACCUAAUAUCUAUAUCAAAAGCUUGGUAUAACUGCCUAUAAGCCGCUUUCAAACAAAAUAACAUGGUUAAAUGUUUGUAAAAACAACAAUAAAUAAUUAAGUUAUAAAAGUUUAAGUUAUACAAUUAUUAAGUUAUAAAAGUGCCACAAUUGUUCCACUAUCACGUGCUGGGGGUGGCAUUUUGCUCCUAUGAACGGGUUACAAAACUACAAAAUGAGUUUUAAAUUCAUGAUUUAAUAUUAAUGAGAUUUUUUUUUAUGUAAUGUUUUAAUUCUAGGUGUUUAUUUAUGUAAAUACUGCAUGACUGUGACGUGUUUUAUUGCGCGUGCGCGCCGAACAUUCGAACCGCUUUCAAACACUGGAGCUGCGCAAAGUUGCCAUGGAAACGGACAAACAACAACUGACAAGCAGCAAAAACAGCAGUCUCUCGCUGUUGUUUUCACGUCUUUCAGAAACGAUUUAGUGUCUUCGAAAAACUCCGUUAGCAUCUCCGUUAGCAUCCCAUUUUCAGAAGAGCAAAAUAGCCCCUCUACAACAGAGGGGAAGCUCUGAAGAUUUCAACAUUUCUGAAGGAAGCUGCUGACAGAAGGAGACACAGGUGAGCUGAGGAAACCCACCAAAUAACUCCAUAUACAUUUCUUCCACAAUAUUUUUCACCUAAACCAUGCAUCUGUCAUUUUCUUCUUUUUUAUUUUCUCAAAUUUACUUUUUUUUUAUUUAAUUUUUUUUAAAAGGCUUUGACAUCCAAAUGUAAGUGACACUGUAUGAGCAAUAUUUAAUGAAUAAGUAAACCUAAAAAAACAUAAAUUCUGUUAUUUUAUGUGUAUUCUUCUUUUUCUUCUGUAGCUUCUUUUCUUUUAAUAAACCUGGCAUUGAAUAAUAAUAUUGUUGGGUCUGUGACUAAUUGUUUAUGUUCCUAGAUACUUCCCUGCUGACGCUCUGCACCAUAGCAGAGUUGGAGCGGAUAAAAAAGUUCCUGUCGGACCACAUGACUAGAUGUCCAGCAAGGUUACUAGAGGUUACGGCAGCUCCAGUUUGGAUCCAACGUUCCAACCUCACUUGUGAAGACUUCAGAUGAUGGAAACUAUAGAUGGACAUGCAAAACUGCCAGAUAUUAUCCUUAUAUAUUGUAAUUAUUGGUCCCGUUUCACAGACAGGGCUUAGAUUACGUCAGGAUUAGGUCUUAUUUAAAUUAGGACAUUUAAUUAGGUUUUUUAAACAUGCUUUAGAAAGUAAUAAAAAAACAUUACUGUUGUGCAUCUUGACACAAAACAAUGACACUGACAUAUUUUAAGAUAUGCUUUCAGUUAAAGGGUUAGUUCACUCCAAAAUUACAUUUCUGUCAUUAAUUAUUCACCCUCUUGUCGUUCCACACCCAUAAGAACUUCAAUCUUCAAUCAGAACACAUCCAGAAAGGAAGUUGAAAACAUAGUUAAAAUAGUCAACGUGACAACAGUGGUUCAAAAAGUAUUCUCGUCACUUAACAAUAAGAUCGAACCACUG